CAGUGCACAUUGUUAUAUUGGGGAAAACAUAUUUCUGAUGCAAUGAACACAUUUUUGGAGAUAAAUUAGCAGCAUUACAAAUUUUGCCAUUGCUGUCAGUCACCUUCAGACAAGU
rnacentral:snoRNA from 2 species